CCUACGGGAGGCAGCAGUGGGGAAUUUUGGACAAUGGACGAAAGUCUGAUCCAGCCAUGCCGCGUGCGGGAAGAAGGCCUUCGGGUUGUAAACCGCUUUUGUCAGGGAAGAGAUCUUCUGGGCUAAUAACUCGGGAGGAUGACGGUACCUGAAGAAUAAGCACCGGCUAACUACGUGCCAGCAGCCGCGGUAAUACGUAGGGUGCAAGCGUUAAUCGGAAUUACUGGGCGUAAAGCGUGCGCAGGCGGUUAUGCAAGACAGAUGUGAAAUCCCCGGGCUCAACCUGGGAACUGCAUUUGUGACUGCAUAGCUAGAGUGCGGCAGAGGGGGAUGGAAUUCCGCGUGUAGCAGUGAAAUGCGUAGAUAUGCGGAGGAACACCGAUGGCGAAGGCAAUCCCCUGGGCCUGCACUGACGCUCAUGCACGAAGACGUGGGAGGACGAACGAGAGUAGUAUACCGUACGGUACGUACCGACCGACCCGUAACCGACUAGUACACUAGUUGGUUAGGUAGGUUACCGUUC
rnacentral:rRNA from 1 species